GUCCAUGGCCAUACCACCCUGCACACACCCGAUCUCAUCUUGUCUCGGAAGUUAAGCAGGGUCGGGCCUGGUUAGUACUUGGAUGGAAGAAAUGGCUAAUUAAAUUUC
rfam:Fukomys damarensis contig120663, whole genome shotgun sequence.